AGUUCGUUUUGGAAAGAAGAUCAUCAAUGAACAACAGAAAAAGAGUGGGAGAUAGGACAGAACCCUGUGGGACACCACUGUUAAUAGAUUUAGGGGAAGAACAGUGACCGUCUACCAUUGUAUUGAUUUGCUUAUAAAUUCUGAAGUGUACCAUUAUAUUGAUUUGCUUAUAAAUUCUUAAGUCCGGCACAGUGUUAGUUCUCCCCAUAGUCACUCUACUGUAACAUAUCUCUAUAGCUGUUUUAUAUUGAUUUGCUUAUAAAUUCUUAAGUCCGACACAGUGUUAGGUCUCCCCAUAGUCACUCUACUGUAACAUAUCUCUAUAACUGUUUUAUAUUGAUUUGCUUAUAAAUUCUUAAGUCCGACACAGUGUUAGGUCUCCCCAUAGUCACUCUACUGUAACAUAUCUCUAUAGCUGUUUUAUAUUGAUUUGCUUAUAAAUUCUUAAGUCCGACACAGUGUUAGUUCUCCCCAUAGUCACUCUACUGUAACAUAUCUCUAUAGCUGUUUUAUAUUGAUUUGCUUAUAAAUUCUUAAGUCCGACACAGUGUUAGGUCUCCCCAUAGUCACUCUACUGUAACAUAUCUCUAUAACUGUUUUAUAUUGAUUUGCUUAUAAAUUCUUAAGUCCGACACAGUGUUAGGUCUCCCCAUAGUCACUCUACUGUAACAUAUCUCUAUAGCUGUUUUAUACUGAUUUGCUAAUAAAUACAUAAGUCCGACACAGUGUUAGUUCUCCCAAUAGUCACUCUACUGUAACAUAUCUCUAUAGCCGUUUUAUAUUGAUUUGCUUAUAAAUUCUUAAGUCCGACACAGUGUUAGGUCUCCCCAUAGUCACUCUACUGUAACAUAUCUCUAUAGCCGUUUUAUAUUGAUUUGCUAAUAAAUUCUUCAGUCCGACACAGUGUUAGUUCUCCCAAUAGUCACUCUACUGUAACAUAUCUCUAUAGCUGUUUGAUAUUGAUUUGCUUAUAAAUACAUAAGUCCGACACAC